rnacentral:lncRNA from 1 species
UCCAUAUUAACAAAUUUCCAUAUCUCUAUGCUGUAAUGAAAGAAGCCCUUCGUCUACAUCCUACUCUUCCACUUUUAGUCCCCCACUGCCCUAGUGAAACAUGCACUGUUGGAGGAUACAAAUCCCCAAAGUGACUCGAGUUUUCGUUAACGUGUGGGCAAUACACCACGAUCCUACUAUCUGGGAAAACCCUUUGGAGUUUUCUCCUGAGAGAUUCUUGGAUGGAAAAUGAGAUUACGGUGGGAAUGACUUCAAAUAUUUUCCGUUUGGGUCGGGACGAAGAAUUUGUGCAGGGACAGCAAUGGCUGAGAGGAUGUUUAUGUAUUCACUGGCUUCAUUAGUUCAUUCUUUGCUGGAGAAAGGUUGGAGCUUUCAGAAAAGUUUGGGAUUGUGCUAAAGAAGAGAAAUCCACUGGUUGCAAUUCCAAUCCCAAGAUUAUCUAGUCCUAAACUCUAUGAUUAAUAGCAAUACUGCUGCUUCAUAUGCCAUGGUGUGACCCUGCUACUAAGUUUAAGAGAAAUAAAUGAGAAAAAGAAAAAAAAAUUUUAAUCUUUCUUUAUUUUGAUUUGAUUGCUAUAGUUUGUUGUCCUCAAGGCACUCAAGAUAGUGGUCACCAAUGGAUGUAAUGGUGUAAACAAUCCCGUUUGAUUGGAUAGUCCUUUCUCAUGAAAUUCUGGUUCACAUUGUUUUCUAUUCAUGUAAGCAUUGAUGUCUUCAUACAUUUUAAAAGUAUAAUUGGAUUAGAAUGAGCCACGUUUGAUGGGUCUAGAAAUU